ensembl:lncRNA
AGUUUAUACUCUAUGCACAACGAUUGUAAUAAAAAUGUCGACAUUUAUUUUUCACAUGAUAUCUGGACGUCACUUGCUGAUUUAAGGCACUAGAAGGUGAACAAGGUUCUUCACCAGAGUCAAGACUGAAGAGGAAGAAGCAACCCCAAAUCAACGGCACCAGAGCGCUCCAGCAAGCAGGGUGUCCUAUUUAGGAUUCAGGGUCACUGUACAUGGCUUGCGGCUCUGACUGUGCUGAACACUGCGGAACUGAUCUAGAAUCAGCCCAACAGUAUAGGAUGAGAGUCUUCGAGAGUCUUCCCCAUUCACAGCUGCUGUCAACAAGGUCCAAAUAUAUACAUAUACAUAUAAAUGUUAUGGAUAGAGGACUAAAUGAAAUUAAAUGAUUUGAGGUUAAAAACAUUGAUAUGUUUCUUACAAACAUGCAGCUUUUCUCUUAACAAGACAUUAACUGAUGGACUGGAGUGGUGUGGAUUAUUGUGAUGUUUUUAUCAGCUGUUUGGACUCUCAUUCUGAUGGUACCCAUUCACUGCAGAGGAUCCAUUGCUGAGCAAGCUUAAUGUAAUGCUACAUUUCUCCAAAUCUGUUCUGAUGCAGAAACAAACUUAUCUACAUUUUGGAUGAACUGAGAGUGAGUAUAUUUUUUUGCAUAUUUUCAUUUUUGGAUGAACUAUGCCUUUAAGAGUCUGAACUUUCUGUUUUAGAAGAUGUUUAUUUAUUUAUUUAUGUUAUUCUAAGACAGAGGGGAAGAUUGACUUCAGUUAACUCAGAUGAAGUUAUCAUAUGACUUGUAAUAAAGUGCAUGAUUUGUAUGAACUUUAAUGAUAUUUUCAUGUUGCUGCUUUGUCUUUUUUUGUUGUUUGACAGGCUAUGUCACUGGUUGCAAUUAUUUAAUUCUGCUAAACAGAUGUUUUGUGCUCAACAGAAGAAACAAAGUCAUACAGGCCGCAGCGGCUUUCAUCCGAGGCUGAUGAAGAAGACUGUCUCCGAUGCUUUGAAUGGUCUCUGGUUUCUCCUUUACCGCCAUCAACACAGCUUUCCAGAAUCGCUCCAAGUGCAGACUAAUAAUCAGCAUUCCUGUUUGACUUUCACCAGCUGUGGAGCUGAUCCGGCAUCCCGGUUCACAGAGUGACGUGCCCUCUAUUUUGAUGUGUCAGGCUAAUACAUGUGGCCCAUUUGUCUUAGUUAAUUGGGGCAGAGCAGAGCAUUGUGGGUAAUUCUCCUGUGUCUGUACUGUCUUCACCUCUCCUCCUUUUCUGUUUAAAACGGUCUGAGUGUUUCAUAAUUCACGCCUCAGGAGAACCGAACUCUGAGCUCAGAGCCGAAUCAAAAGCUUUUUCUACCUCUUCUAUUUCAAUUCAUCUGCUCUGACUUUACUCUCGAUGACUGGCGCGUUCUGAAGAGAGAGAUGAUAGAAAUCAUUAUAAAUGUAUGGAUUUUUGCAUUACUUUGGUGUAAAAAAAAAUAAAUAAAAAAAACUCAGUAGUAAAGGUUGAAAUUUCCUGUUGUAUCAUUGUUCAGGUAGUUAGUUGUAAAUAUACAGACAAUCUAACUGUAACUAAUUUACUGACCAUAGAUAAUAAUGGAAUAGUUCACCUUAAAUGAAAAUCAGGCCAUCAAAGAGUAUGUUUCUUCAUCAGAACAGAUUUGGAGAAAUGUAGCAAUACGUGACUUGGUCACCAGUGAUUGCUUUGCAGUGAAUGGGUGCCGUCAGAAUGAGAGUCCAAACAUCUGAUAAAAACAUCACAAUAAUCCACAAGUAAUCCACAUCACUCAAGUCCAACAGUUUAUGACUUGUGAAGAGAAAAACUGUGUGUUUGUAAGACACAAAUCCAUCAUUAAUAACUUCAGACUGUUGCUUUUGACCAAAACACGACUCCAUAAUCCAUAAUACUGCUUCCUGCAGUAAAAAAAGUUGUCCUGGCUGAAUCUGCAGAGAAAUCUGCACAGAUCAAGCACCAUUUACAAGCCAAACAGUCCAAAGCAAAUAUGUGGGUUGUUUUUUUAUGUGAGAGCCAACAGAAGACAAUCUUUUUCACUGGAAAAGUGUUAUUACGGAUUAUGGACUCAUAUUUUAGUUGAAAGCAACAGUAAAAACACCUUAAUGAUAGAUUUGUUUCUUACAAACACACAGCUUUUCACUUCACAAGACAUUCAUUUAUGGACUGGAGUGGUGUGGAUUGCUUGUGAUUUAUUGUGAUGAUUUUAUCAGCUGUUUGGACUCUCAUUCUGACGGCACCCAUUCACUGCAGAGGAUCCAUUGCUGAGCAAGUAAUGUAAUGCUACAUUUCUCCAAAUUUGUGGAAGAAACAAAUUCAUCUACAUUUUAGAUGGCAUGAGGGUGAGUGCAUUUUCAGCAAAUAUUCAUUUUUGGCUUAACUGUUCCUUUAAAGAACAUUUUAAUAAUCUAAAGAACCUUUUGUGGAAUGGUUUUAUGGAUAUUAAAAGUUCUUCAUUAAAGCACUUAGGAAUGCAGAGCUUGUACAGCUGGAAGCAUUUGCAUUCAUAGACUUAAAGUGUGUUGCUGGCUUUAGGUGUGCAGUAAUUUAAACUGUGAUUUGUAAUCAGUGGACUGUUUGUUCACGCAGUGUUUUUAAUUAAAGCUAGUUGUUCUGCCCGUCACAAAAUACAACACGCCACACAUCUCCCUCAAAAUGAGCAGAGCUAACUCUGAACCACUGCUCUAUAGAACUCACCUGUGUACUGAAUACAUAAUGGAAAAGAAUCCUAAUGAUUUAGUUUUCAAUUAUUUAAUAAUACAUCAAAACUGCAAACUAUAGUAAAUUGGACUUAGUAACUCUUACACUGGACUGUUUUUCUAAUAGAAACAUGCUAAGCGUAUGUGUUUGUCUGAUGCACUCGCAGCAUUUCGCACAUCACACUGUGUUAUAAAAACAAGGCGUUCAAGUUAAAAGUUCAACUUUGAAAAAAUGCACCUCAGGACGUUGUGUUUUUUUCCAUUCCACCGCGCUUCAUGAUGCAUCUUGUGUUUUUAAUAGCAAAAACGCAUUCUGUGUGAACGGCCCCUUUGACCACCACAGGAAAAGUGUUGCAAAUAGCGUCACGGACAGAUGAUUUUACAAGGUUGCUAGCAAGGAAGUGGUACGUAAAUUGUGAAAACUGUGAAUGCAGUCAAAAUAAGUGGCAUGUACUUCAGCCUAGGAAACAAAACAUCCAGGAGCCAGAUGCAGAAACAUAACCACCAUAUUUAAGACUUAUCUAAUCUGAUCAACUAGCAGUUAGCCGAGGCAUAAUCGUUCUUACUUUUUGUUUUAAGUUAAAUCAUUUAUGCUACAAGCCAGUGUUUAAAAUAAUAAGGCAUGAAAAUAUUAUGAUAAUAAAUCCCAGUUUACAAUGUCAAGCAGCAUAACAGACUGUUU